rnacentral:lncRNA from 1 species
UAGUUAAGGAUGAUGCCACUACUAAGUGAAGCUAGAGCUUGAUUCUUAUAUGGGCCCUAUAAUUUAUAUCUGUUUCCAGUGAGUAUAAACACAUUAUAUUGUACAGGAUUGGAGAAAUGGAAGGAUAAAGGUACAUUAGUGCUAGAGGUGCACACCCUUCUGCAUAAUACAAUAAUUACUUCUACUGUUUAGUAGUCAUAUCACACUUCUAAUAUGCAACAUGCUUUACAGUUUUUCAUUCUCUUUGCCCUAACAUAAUCCUUGGAAGUAUGUACAAUAUUCCCAUUUUAUGACUGUGGAACUGUGACCGAGAAAAUAAUUUGCUCAGGGCCAUGGCAGGGUAAUGAUUCAGACCCACGUUUCACAGAACCAAAUACAGUGGUAUAAAUCUGGCAUACUGCACUAACUCAUUUAUUGCUGGUGUACACAUUUUGUUUAUGCACUUACUUAACUUUAUUUACAUGUAUUACCCUCCUUAGUUACUUGUGUGUGUAUGUGGGUCUAUUCAGAUAUGUUUCAUGGGACCAGUGUUGCUACACAUGCCAUUUCUGUAGCCAAUAAUUGCCACAAGGCAGUAAAAGAUACCAUAUUAAUCAGAUGAGGGGUGGCUAUCCUGAGUGCAUUUUUACAUGGGGUUUCAUUCAUUCUCCAUUAAUCCCAUAAACCAGAGUUAAAAUUGCAUGUAUCCCCAAAACUGUUGCUUGAGUUCCACAGUUGCUCAGGUGAAUUAACUAGUGGUGUGUCGCAAGAAGUCUUGCCAUGCAACCACCCCUUGUGUUUUCCUCUUCCCACUUCUUGCUAAGAACAUUUUCCAAAAGUGUUAAGAAUGUCCCUUACUACAUCCCCUUGGGUUGUUGUUGUUUAGUCGUUUAGUCAUGUCCGACUCUUCGUGACCCCAUGGACAAGAGCACGCCAGGCACUCCUGUCUUCCACUGCCUCCCGCAGUUUGGUCAGACUCAUGCUGGUAGCUUCGAGAACACUGUCCAACCAUCUCGUCCUCUGUCGUCCCAUUCUUCUUGUGUCCUCAAUCUUUCCCAACAUCAGGGUCUUUUCCAGGGAGUCUUCUCUUCUCAUGAGAACCCCCUUGGGUUAUGCUUAUGUAAUCACUCUUUUUGUCAUAACUGUUCUGGUUGAGUCUAGCCUUCUGGCUGAAAGCAGGAAUUGUAAUGCAUACCUUUUGUACCUAUGAAGCGGAAGAGGAGAGCAUGGCUGAAGUACAUGCCUUGUCCUUUUUGGAGAAAAUAACUGCAAUUGGUAACUCGCCAGCCACAUGUUCACAAGCAGCUUGGCCACAUGCCUCUUUGCUGUUCUACAUUUGGAGCCUGCUUCCAACAAAUGUCCAUUGGGUGAUGUCAGUCCAUGUGUAUCUCUGUGCACCUACCCUCAUAGCUGAAUAGAGAAGAGUGUAGAUUUUGUGUCUUGUGUGCUCUCUUUGGAGGCUCUCUGUUAAAGCUAAUAAAUAUGUAAGAUCACAUGCCUAAAAUACAAGGCUUUUGCUUUGAUUCAUUUAUCUUUUUUAGCCCAAGUCUCAUUAGCUCUCUUAGUCAAUAAUGCCACGUUUACAAUUAAGAUAUAGAUCUGGAUCCAGAAUUUUUGCAUUUAUAAAACUGUGCUUACCUACCUUCUCCCCAUUGCAUCCCUCUGUGUUCCCCAAAAAGCCUCUUCUGAGAGUCAGGGGCCUGGUGCUUGGAAGGAGAAAGUGGGAGUAAGUAUAGGCAGCUUUUCUAGCAAGACUGUCUCCACAACACUCAUGUUAAGUUUUUGUUUCUGACACCACAUAACUGGGAUGGGGUUGCUGGUCAUACUGAAGUUAAGCUGACCUACUCUAGCUCAUGGGUCACCAAUGUGGCAGGUGCACACCCACUCACAGAGGCUUUCUUUGGCAACUGCAGUGUGCCUUCUAUGGCACUCUUCCUCCUGCCAAAAUUAGCCUUGAAAUAGAGUAUUCUAUUGCAGCCAGUAGAAUAGUUUACAGCGUGUGAGUGUGUGUAUGCCCACAACACCUUUUUCUUUCUACAAAUGUGCCCAUGGGCCCCAAAUGAUUGUAAACCAUUGCUCUAGUCCAGGGGUCAGCAACCUGUGGCCCAUGGGCCACAAGCAGCCCACAGGGGUUGUUUAAACAACCCACAAGCCGCCCCCGAACCGAGCCACCCACUUGUCGAGUCCCCACACUUUGCUAAACCGGUGCAACACGGAGCGGGGACUCGCUUCCGCGGCGCUGGAAAUCACGUCUGCGUAGAUGUGAUCCGGCCCAGGCGAGGUAAAUCUUGCCGACCCUUCUCUAGUCUGCUGAACGUGAAGAUGCAUAUGAAUCAUUAAUACUUUGAGUUGUAACCGGCUGUGUUUUACUCAGAGUAGACUCACUGAAAUUAAUGGCCCUAAGUUAGUCUGAUAGUCUAUUAACUUCAGUAGAACUUCUUUGAUUAGGACUAGUAAACUUCCAGAUUUAUUAGAUUGAAGAAGUCUCUCUUUGACUAUCUUAGAACAACUAUUUGAAGUAUUACAGCAGAUGAAAAUAUACAAAUAUUUAUACAAAAAUAAAAAUGCAGUGAUAUAAGACAGUAUAAACAAUAUCCUUAAAAGCACACCAUGCUGGCAGACAAAACUUCAGGGAUAAUCAACUAAAGAAAGGUGUGAAACUGACCAUCCCAUUUCUUCAAAUGUCUGGGAGUAGUGUACAUUCUAUUUUUAGCUCUAAAAUGGUAAGAGUCCAGGAUAGACUAUACCCAUAUAUUCUUUUCCCCAAACAUGUAAUUCUGCUUUAUAGCUCCCCACAUGGCUUUUUACUGUGUAGCAAAGCCUUCAGACUGUUGUCAGUUCUCAGUCCUGAUUUCCAGUAACGCCUCACCUAGGCCCUAUGUAGGAAGUAAAGGAUUAAACAUCACAUACAAUUGAGAUUUAUAAGAUAUGAAGAUAAGCUUUUUGUUUACUUGUAUAUUUUGUGAUGAGCUCAUGAAGUUAGAGGAGAAACCAGGAAUUCCUUUAUCAGAAUAGUUCCUGAAGAAAGCGUGGUAGGGAAUGUGUUGGUCUUGUACACACGUAGCAGCAAACCAUAGUUAAGGAUUUAGUGUGAAUGUAUGGAUAUUGCCUGCUUUGCUCUUUCCUACUAAUGUGCAGAAGAAGCAGAUAGCAAUCUUUGGCUUAGUAUUGUGCCUAAACUGCAGAUUGUGGAGGAUAUUUUGCUGCAAAGAAACAACAGCUUGCUGUAGAAAGAUUUGUUCUUGGCUUAUUAACCAUAGUUUAUUACAGCAAAACCAACCACAGUAUCUGCUUCAGAGAUACCUGUUAUCUCUGUGUAUGUAUACAGUUCUCACGCAUGCUUAAUGGCCUUAAUGUUAGCUUAUGGGGGUUGCAUGUGGGAAAUAGCAGGGUUUGCCCCUUCCACGUGUGUGUUUGUGUGUGUGUGUGUGUGUGUGUUUGUGUAUUUACAAAAAAGUAGCCCUUUACAGUUUGUGUGCAUGUCUGUGAGGGAGAUUUUAUUGGUCUGCUGUUUACCAUGUUGCUUCUACAGGACAGAUACUUGCAGUUCCAUUCAUAUUUGAUACUUUACAGAGCAUAUCCUUCUCCAUUAGUUUUGCACUACAUAAGAAAAGUCACAUUCGGAGCUCUCUCAGGGGUUAACCUGGCAAUCAUACUUGAGAUUACAUUUUUGCUGGGAAAAUGUCAUAGCAUCCCGUGCUAUGUUUUAGUGAAUAAAUAAUCUGUGCGCUGUUUUCCAGAAGGUACUUUUUUUCCUGCAACACUGUGAGUAGCUGCAAUUUGCACAUUAAGAGUCUAUUUGGUUUUAUUUAUAGGAAUCCUUGUUGUUUGUGGUAUCUUGCAUGCUAUUUUUAUGCAAUAAAUUCCCUUGGUAGUAUCUGUCUUAAGUACCACUGGUAAAUAUAAAACAUGAUAAACAUCAUAUUUACUCUAGAGGAGUCUUAUGAAAAAUAAUACAGUUGUAGUAGAGUAAGCAGAAUAUGCAGAACAGCCAUAUGGCACAAUCUAUGCAUGCUUACUUGGAAAUUAGCCUUGCUGUGUUCGGUGGGGCUUAGUUUUUGUUAAGUGUGUAAGGAUUGCAGCCCUAGUCUCGCUGGUGUAUGGAUGGAUAGGCACAUCUCUGUAUCCUUAAGUGUGUUUUGUUAUAAGACUAACAAUAAUUCUAGAGGUAUUUGAAACACUUCCCUGCAAAUGUUGGUAUUAUAUGCCAUCUUCAGACAUCAUUCAUGUAAUAAUAAUAAUAAUAAUUUUUUAUUUAUACCCCGCCCUCCCCAGCCAAGGCCGGGCUCAGAGCGGCUUACAAGCAAUAAUAAAAACAAGAUGAAUGAUUAUAACUUAAAAACAAAAAUAAAAUACAACAUUAAAAUAAUGGAACAUUAAAAUAUUAAAAUGUAGCCUCAUCGCAGGAGGAG